rnacentral:rRNA from 1 species
ACUGCUCAGUAACACGUGGACAACCUGCCCUUAGGUUGGGUAUAAACCCGGGAAACUGGGUAUAAUACCCGAUAGGUCUCGAUUGCUGGAAUGCAUCGAGAUUUAAAGCUCCGGCGCCUAAGGAUGGGUCUGCGGCCUAUCAGGUAGUAGUGGGUGUAGCGUACCUACUAGCCUACGACGGGUACGGGUUGUGAGAGCAAGAGCCCGGAGAUGGAUUCUGAGACACGAAUCCAGGCCCUACGGGGUGCAGCAGGCGCGAAAACUUUACAAUGCUGGCAACAGCGAUAAGGGAACCUCGAGUGCCAGGUUACAAAUCUGGCUGUCGAGAUGCCUAAAAAGCAUUUCAUAGCAAGGGCCGGGCAAGACCGGUGCCAGCCGCCGCGGUAACACCGGCGGCUCGAGUGGUAACCGUUAUUAUUGGGUCUAAAGGGUCUGUAGCCGGCCGGAUAAGUCUCUUGAGAAAUCUGGCAGCUUAACUGUCAGGCUUUCAGGAGAUACUGUCUGGCUCGAGGCCGGGAGAGGUGAGAGGUACUUCAGGGGUAGGGGUGAAAUCUUGUAAUCCUUGAAGGACCACCAGUGGCGAAGGCGUCUCACCAGAACGGACCUGACGGCAAGGGACGAAAGCCAGGGGCACGAACCGGAUUAGAUACCCGGGUAGUCCUAGCCGUAAACGAUACUCGCUAGGUGUCGGCCACGGUGCGACCGUUGUCGGUGCCGUAGGGAAGCCGUGAAGCGAGCCACCUGGGAAGUACGGCCGCAAGGCUGAAACUUAAAGGAAUUGGCGGGGGAGCAC